UACGUAGGUGGCAAGCGUUAUCCGGAAUUAUUGGGCGUAAAGCGCGCGCAGGCGGUUUCUUAAGUCUGCUGUGAAAGUCCAGGGCUCAACCCUGGGAUGCCGGUGGAUACUGUCGAGCUCGAGUCCGGAAGAGGAGUGUGGAAUUCCUGGUGUAGCGGUGAAAUGCGCAGAUAUCAGGAGGAACACCGAUAGCGAAGGCAGCACUCUGGUACGUGACUGACGCUGAGACGCGAAAGCGUGGGGAGCAAACAGG
rnacentral:rRNA from 1 species